GCUCUAGUGGCCUAGUGGUUAGAGCAUCCACCUCGGAUGCAGGAGAUCGCGGGUUCAAUCCCCGGUCGAGUCA